UACGGGGGGGGCAAGCGUUGUUCGGAAUUACUGGGCGUAAAGGGCUCGUAGGCGGCCAACUAAGUCGGACGUGAAAUCCCCAGGCUCAACCUGGGAACUGCGUCCGAUACUGGAUGGCUUGAAUCCGGGAGAGGGAUGCAGAAUUCCAGGUGUAGCGGUGAAAUGCGUAGAUAUCUGGAGGAAUACCGGUGGCGAAGGCGGCAUCCUGGACCGGCAUUGACGCUGAGGAGCGAAAGCUAGGGGAGCGAACGGG
rnacentral:rRNA from 1 species